UACGGAGGGUGCAAGCGUUGUUCGGAUUUACUGGGCGUAAAGCGCGCGCAGGUGGGUGUGCAAGUCGGAAGUGAAAUCUUGAGGCUCAACCUCGAGGCUGCUCCCGAAACUGCACGCCUAGGGACUGGUAGAGGCUGGUAGAAUUCCCGGUGUAGCGGUGGAAUGCGUAGAGAUCGGGAAGAAUACCCGUGGCGAAGGCGGCCAGCUGGGGCCAGGUCCGACACUGAGGCGCGAAAGCGUGGGGAGCGAACAGG
rnacentral:rRNA from 1 species